rnacentral:lncRNA from 1 species
GCCGCAAUCUAAUCAUCAUUGGAAGAAUCUGAUCAUCACGAUGCAGCCACACAGUGUGUCUGGCCUCUACGAAUUAUCCAUACGAAGCUCCCGAUCUGAUCGACUCCUCACGAGUGCUAGCUCUUUGUAGAGCUUUUUUGACGAUCGAUGCUAAUCGAACUCCUUCGAUCGAUGUCUGUCGAUUCUUCGAAUGCUUCGGAU